rnacentral:tRNA from 1 species
GCUCUCGUAGCUCAGUUGGUUAGAGCGUCCGCUUAGAUAGCAGAGGUCUUGAGUUCGGUUCUCAACAAGAACA